rnacentral:rRNA from 1 species
UACGUAGGGGCUAGCGUUAUCCGGAAUUACUGGGCGUAAAGGGUGCGUAGGCGGUCUUUCAAGCCAGAAGUGAAAGGCUACGGCUCAACCGUAGUAAGCCUUUGAAACUGAGAAACUUGAGUGCAGGAGAGGAGAGUAGAAUUCCUAGUGUAGCGGUGAAAUGCGUAGAUAUUAGGAGGAAUACCAGUUGCGAAGGCGGCUCUCUGGACUGUAACUGACACUGAGGCACGAAAGCGUGGGGAGCAAACAGGAUUAGAUACCCGCGUAGUCCCU